rnacentral:rRNA from 1 species
UACGUAGGGUGCAGGCGUUAAUCGGAAUUACUGGGCGUAAAGCGUGCGCAGGCGGUUUCUUAAGUCAGAUGUGAAAGCCCCGGGCUUAACCUGGGAACUGCGUUUGAAACUGGGAGACUUGAGUGUGGCAGAGGGGGGUGGAAUUCCACGUGCAGCAGUGAAAUGCGUAGAUAUGUGGAGGAACACCGAUGGCGAAGGCAGCCCCCUGGGUUAACACUGACGCUCAUGCACGAAAGCGUGGGGAGCAAACAGG